CACACACAGCACCCUCACACACACAGUACACUAACAGCACACUCACACACAGCACACUAACAGUACCUUCACAAACACACAACAUCCACACACAGCACACAGACAGCACCCUCACACACACACACAGAACACUAACCGGACCCCAACAAACACACACACAGCACACUACCAGUACCCUCACACACAGCACACAAACAGCACCCUCACACACAAACAGCACCCUCACACACAGUACACUAACAGCACCCUCAUACUCAAAC